CAGAAAAUAAAUAGGAAGGAACACACCGAUGUAUACUGGUUCACCACGACCUGUGGUUAGUCCAGUCCCCGAGAGACUCUCUCGAGAUUUCCACUAAAUCCGUUAAGCUUACGGGUGCUCAACAAACCGUUACAACUUGAGAGCUUGAAUCACACAAGCCUCAACAAACGUUGCUCGAAGAUACCACACUUCAAGACUUCACUGUUAAGCUUUACGGGUGCCUAACAAACCGUUACAACCUG
rnacentral:lncRNA from 1 species